rnacentral:rRNA from 1 species
AUUAAACGCUGGCGGCAGGCCUAACACAUGCAAGUCGAGCGGAUGCGGGGUGCUUGCACCCCGAUUCAGCGGCGGACGGGUGAGUAAUGCCUAGGAAUCUGCCCGAUAGUGGGGGACAACGUUUCGAAAGGAACGCUAAUACCGCAUACGUCCUACGGGAGAAAGUGGGGGCUCUUCGGACCUCACGCUAUCGGAUGAGCCUAGGUCGGAUUAGCUAGUUGGUGGGGUAAAGGCUCACCAAGGCGACGAUCCGUAACUGGUCUGAGAGGAUGAUCAGUGACACGGGAACUGAGACACGGUCAAGACUCCUACGGGAGGCAGCAUUGGGGAAUAUUGGACAAUGGGCGAAAGCCUGAUCCAGCCAUGCCGCGUGUGUGAAGAAGGUCUUCGGAUUGUAAAGCACUUUAAGUCGGGAGGAAGGGCUGCAGGCUAAUACCUUGCAGUCUUGACGUUACCGACAGAAUAAGCACCGGCUAACUUCGUGCCAGCCGCCGCCGUAAUAC